rnacentral:lncRNA from 1 species
AGUUACAAAAAACAAGAAAGCCAAGGAAGAAGUGAUGAACGAAUUCCACCACGAACUGAACAAGACUCUAAGUGUGAGUUUUACAGAUGUUCAAAUAGUUUUCUGUAAUGGCGAACCAAAGCUUCAUUAAAAUUAAAACUCAUUAUUUCAGGAGCAGUUCAGCGAUAAAGAUUUCAAAGUGUUCACAGUGAGUGCUGACGAGGUCCUUAAAGAAAACGUGUAAAAAAAGAUGACAAUGGUAGGUUAUAAGCAUGUCAGAAUUUUUGUGAUUAAAAGAAAACAAUCUUAUUCAGUGCAUAUCUUGUUUUAUUUUUACUUUACUUAAAUCAGGACGGAGUUGCUAGAUUAAAUGACUUUUAUUUACAGAAAUACCCAAACUUCAAGACUUCUUGCAAAAUCUCAAUGACUGCCACUAUGAGACAGAUAUCUAUGUGACUGGAGCUUAUGGGAUUCUGUCUUUGAUUGAAGGUGCCAGGUGCAGAAAUGAGGAUGUUGGAAUAGCAGAAUAUGUAUGUAAAGUCCUUGAGAAAAACAUGACAGAACAACUCGAUCAAGUGAAAAAAGCAGUUGAAAAAGCGAUCAAGGAUUUUGAACAAUGUCUUACAGAAGGGGUUAAAAAUUCCAAAACCUCUGAAGAAAACCUGAACACCUUUUUGCACCGUGAUGUAUGUCUCUGAAUUAUAAUUAACAUGAAAGCAACAGAUUUUUCACUUAAUGAGCAUGUGUUUAGAAAUGGUUUCUUGAUUUGUUUCAGGAAAACCCUCUCGUGUUCAUGACACUAGAGGCCGUGGUUAAGAAAAACGGCAUCCACAAAACAAAAAAAGGGGAAGAAAUAAAUCUCAACACAAUGUUGGCUUCCUGCUUGACUGACAGCAUUGAUGAAAAAUUCAGAAAGACCUUCCCAAAUGAUGUUAAAGGCAGAUAUUUCAAUGGAGUCAUCAGCAUAUUUUCACUUGACACAAAACCACUGAUUCAAGAGUACCAAGAUGUCAAACUGCAGCUGAUAUUUCUCCAGACAGAGGUACAAGAUGAACCAAUCAGGUUUAAUCAGUCCAUUAGCAGCAGAAUUUACCUAAAAUAG